rnacentral:ncRNA from 20 species
UACUUAUCAAGAGAGGUGGAGGGACUGGCCCGCUGAAACCUCAGCAACAGAACGCAUCUGUCUGUGCUAAAUCCUGCAAGCAAUAGCUUGAAAGAUAAGUU